CGAGAAGCUCGGCGGCCAUCGCCGCCAUUUUGGGCUGGGAGGAGGCAGCGGAGGGACUCGCUGCGCAGUGAGAGCACCCCGUGGGGGGUGGUCCGGGCGCGGGGAGAGGCCGGGCCGAGUGGGCUACCUGAAGUGGCGGCGCCGGGAGACGGCGGGAAGUGGGACCGGGGGCCAGGGAGGGUGAAGGUUGGAGUCUCCUCGGCCGAGCCCGGUCCUCAAACCGUCCCGGCAGCCCCGCAGCCUCGCCUCUCACAGAGUGCGGGGUUCUUCGGUAAUUACCGCGUGUUUCCCGAGACCCCAGAAGGGGAGAGGCUGGUGAAACGGCUUCCCUCUGCGGUCUUUCCACAGGGGCGCGGAUCCUGAGGCCGAGCUCUGCCAGCUUCCCUCCCCACCCCCAUUCGGCCUGGGUAUGGCGGCGAGGCCCCGCACAGAGGGACUCCCACUUCGACUGGAGAGGUGGGGGCGACGCCAGAUUCCAGAGGCUGGCGCCGCGGGGGAGGGCGGAGGUCGCAGGUCUGGCCACAAGUCGGCGUGGCAGUCAGCUGGAGGCUCCGAGAGCGGAGAUCCCAGUGCACCCACCUUACCUCGCUUACACCAAAGCGCCAUCUCGCCGCCCGGGUUGCGAAAAACCACGACCCUCUUAAACUACUGUAGCAACCACUAAUUCCCCCUGGGAGCAGCUAGAGAGGGGCACUUGGAAACCUUCACGAGCUCGGUGCCUGAAGGUCUCUGAGGCUCUUGCCCUCAAGAUCUCUCCCAUUCAGCCCCGAUUCUCCGGACAACCUGACCUAGCAUGUCGCCAGCCUCUUGGUGAAACGCCUAAAGUGUGCUGCC
rnacentral:lncRNA from 1 species